GCAGUAGCCGCGCGGUAAUACGGAGGGUGCAAGCGUUAUCCGGAUUUAUUGGGUUUAAAGGGUCCGUAGGCGGAUCUGUAAGUCAGUGGUGAAAUCUCACAGCUUAACUGUGAAACUGCCAUUGAUACUGCAGGUCUUGAGUAAAUUUGAAGUGGCUGGAAUAAGUAGUGUAGCGGUGAAAUGCAUAGAUAUUACUUAGAACACCAAUUGCGAAGGCAGGUCACUAAGAUUUAACUGACGCUGAUGGACGAAAGCGUGGGGAGCGAACAGGAUUAGAUACCCCAGUAGUCCCUGUCUCUUAU
rnacentral:rRNA from 1 species